rnacentral:lncRNA from 1 species
GCUGCAACUUGCAGCAGAGCAGUGGCCCUGCUGAGCAGCCAGGGAAGGCCCUGAGCCCAUCAGAGUGGCACGCUUUUGCUGGGUUUCCUCCUAGAAAGCCACAGCAGGUGGCUGCACAGAGGAGCUGGAGGGCUGGGAGUUGCUUAUGUGGGCUCAGGAGAUGGGUGAAGUCUGCUUCUGGCCAAAGAUCUGGGUUUGCAAGCUGGGCUGGGGGUGUGGAUGGGAGAGUGGGAUGAUGAAGGCCAGCCAGCAGACGGACUUCAAGGAUCCUGGGGGACACCCCUGGCAGAUCCCUGGCCCUGGCUGCUAUUCAAGGACAAGACAGGAACCCCAGAAUGGGGAAGUCACAGGGCCCAGGCCUCCUGCCUUGGAGGCCUAGCAGGCAGGGAGGGGAACUUGAUCCUGGCCAAUGGGCAGUACUGCAGGACAGCUGGGUGGAGAUUGCAACUUGAGCGGCCUCUUGCUGCUUUUAUUUAUUGAACCCAGGGGCACUUAACCACUGAGCCACAUCCCUAGCCUUUUUAAUAUUUUGAGACAGGUCUCACUAAGUUGCUUAGGGCCUCAUCUAAUUGCUUGAACUUGUGAUCCUCCUUGAACUGCUGGGCUUACAGGUG